ensembl:lncRNA
CAUCCCAGGCCACUGUCACCUGUGUCACCAGGCAGCUGGAACUGUCCCCAAUGUCCCCAAUGACCCCAAUGUCCCCAAACCCCAUCCCAGGUGCGUCCCCAGGUGUCCCCUCACCUGCCACCUGCACGGUGACCCUCAAUGGCACAUCCCAGGCCACGUGUGUCACCAGGCAGCUGGAGCUGUCUCAAAUGUCCCCAAUGACCCAAACUCUAUCCCCAGGUGUCCCCAGUGUCCCAAACCCUGUCCUCUCACCUGCCACCUGCACAGUGACCCUGAGUGGCACAUCCCAGGCCACGUGUGUCACCAGGCAGCUGGAGCUGUCCCCAAUGUCCCAAUGUCCCCAGUGUCCCCAAACCCCAUCCCAGGUGUGUCCCCAGGUGUUCCAACCCUGUCCCCAAUGUCCCAAACCCUGUCCCCUCACCUGCCACCUGCACGGUGACCCUGAGUGGCACGUCCCAUGCCACGUGUGUCACCAGGCAGCUGGAACUGUCCCCUGCUGUGCCUAACCCUGUCCCUGAUGUCCCCAAACCCCAUCCCAGGUAUGUCCCCAAUGUCCCCAGGUGUGUCCCCUCACCUGCCACGUGCACGGUGACCCUCAGUGGCACAUCCCAGGCCACGUGUGUCACCAGGCAGCUGGAGCUGUCCGUAAUGUCCCCAAUGUCCCCAAACCCUGUCCCCAAUGUCCUCAGGUGUCCCCAGUGACUCAAACCCUGUCCCCAAUGUCCCCAAUGUCCCAAACUCCAUCCCUGCUGUCCCCAGGUGUGUCCCCAGGUGUCCCCUCACCUGCCACCUGCACGGUGACCCUCAAUGACACAUCCGAGGCCACGUGUGUCACCAGGCAGCUGGAGCUGUCCCCUGCUGUGCCUAAACGUGUCCCUGAUGUCCCCAAACCCCAUCCCAGGUGUCCCCUCACCUGCCACCUGCACAGUGACCCUCAGUGGCACGUCCCAGGCCGCGUGUGUCACCAGGCAGCUGGAGUUGUCCCCAAACCCUGUCCCCAAUGACCCAAAUCCCAUCCCAGGUGUCCCAAAUGACCCAAACCCUGUCCUCAUGUCCUCAAUGUCCCCAAUGUCCCAAACCCCAUCUCAGGUGUGUGUCCCCUCACCUGCCACCUGCACGGUGACCCUCAGUGGCGCGUCCCAGGCCACGUGUGUCACCAGGCAGCUGAAGCUGUCCCCAGUGUCCCCAAACCCCAUCCCAGGUGUGUCCCCAGGUGUCCCCAGUGUCCCAAACCCUGUCCCCAAUGUCCCCAAUGUCCCAAACCCUGUCCCCUCACCUGCCACCUGCACAGUGACCCUCCGUGGCACAUCCCAGGCCACUGUCACCGGUGUCACCAGGCAGCUGGAACUGUCCCCAAUGUCCCCAAUGACCCAAUGUCCCCAGUGUCCCCAAACCCCAUCCCAGGUGCGUCCUCAGAUGUUCCAAACCCUGUCCCCAAUGUCUCCAAUGUCCCAAAUCCUGUCCUCUCACCUGCCACUUGCACGGUGACCCUGAGUGGCACAUCCUAUGCCACGUGUGUGUCACCAGGCAGCUGGAGCUGUCCCUGAGUGUCCCCAAAUCCUGUCCCCAAUGACUCAAACCCCAUCCCAGGUGUGUCCCCAGGUGUCCCCAUCUCCAGUCCUGGUGUCCCUGGUGUCCCCAAACCCCAUCCCCAAUGUCCCCAACUCCAUCACAAAUGACCCAAACCCCAUCCCCAAUUCCAGUCCUGGUGUCCCUGGUGUCCCCAAACCCUNUUAGGCUCCAUUCCACCAUUUGCAGGGGGAUUCCGCCGUUCCCGCUGGAUUUAUGCGGGAACGCGGAGAGCUCUGAGGAGCGGGCGGAACUGCCCUCACCCAAGAUGGCGGCGCAGCCUCACGCCAGAUCCGGGGAGUUUGCGCUGGUUGAGGCUGGGGAGCGCUCCUAAAGGGACGCUGCUGGGUGGAUUUAGGCGCUUUGGCUCAAUCCCAGGGGAUUUAGGAUCCAUUCCCAGGGAAUUUAGGCUCCAUCCCGCCAUUUCCAGGCGGAUUCCACCGUUCCCGGCUGGAUUUAUGAGGGAACGCGGAGCACUCUGAGGAGCGGGCGGAACUGCCCUCACCCAAGAUGGCGGGGCGGCUUCACCCCAGAUUCGGGCAGUUUGAGCUGGUUGAGCCUGGGGAGCGCUCCUGGGGGACCUUACUGGAUGGAUUUGGGCGCUUUGGUUGAAUGCCAGGGGAUUUAGGCCCAUCCACAGGGAAUUUAGGCUCCGUCCCGCCAUUUCCAGGCGGAUUCCACUGUUCCUGGCUUGAUUUAUGCGGGAACGCGGAGCGCUCUGAGGAGCGGAACUACAAAGAUGGCGGCACUGCUGCUCUCGCGAGACCUGCGGCGAGAAGUGCCAAACGCAGCGCGGACCAAUCAGUAGCCGCGUCUGGCAGAAGUACUGGCGGAAGUUCCCCUGCACCGGCGCCGGCGGCCGCUUCCGGCGGAAUUCUGACUCUGUCAGUGCUUUUAUUUUCUGCUAUUGCAUUUAUUUUUAUGUUUUUCUUUUUUCCUAAUAAAUUUCCGUAUUUCUGACUUGGAGUCUUUCA